UCCCACUGGAAGGCUAUUCCAGGUAUCUACUACCCUUUCUACAUCACUGUUAGCCUAUACUGCUCCCACUGGAAGGCUAUUCCAGGUGUCUACUACCCUUUCUAUAUCACUGUUACUGCUCCCACUGGAAGGCUAUUCCAGGUAUCUACUACCCUUUCUAUAUCACUGUUACUGCUCCCAGUGGAAGGCUAUUCCAGGUAUCUACUACCCUUUCUAUAUCACUGUUACUGCUCCCACUGGAAGGCUAUUCCAGGUAUCUACUACCCUUUCUAUAUCACUGUUACUGCUCCCACUGGAAGGCUAUUCCAGGUAUCUACUACCC